ACGAAGGGUGCAAGCGUUAAUCGGAAUUACUGGGCGUAAAGCGUGCGCAGGCGGUUCUGAAAGUCAGCUGUGAAAGCCCCGGGCUUAACCUGGGAAUUGCGGUUGAAACUACAGGGCUAGAAUCUGGCAGAGGGGGGUGGAAUUCCAGGUGUAGCGGUGAAAUGCGUAGAGAUCGGGAGGAACACCAGUGGCGAAGGCGGCUACCUGGACCAGCACUGACACUGAGGCACGAAAGCGUGGGGAGCAAACAGGA
rnacentral:rRNA from 1 species